ensembl:lncRNA
CGCGAUUCCACUCAGAGCGGGGCUUCAUGAGGAGGUAGGAGCGGACCGGAGAGCUGACACGUCGAGCGGUUUCACGCUCCUUCAGGAUACCGACUCCAGAGAGAGGCGUCCCGGGGUCAGCUCGGACACCAGCCCGGACACCAGCCCGGACAUGGCGGAGGAGGCCUGCGAGCAGAUGCGCCCUCUCCUCCUCACAUCUGUAAGUGCUUUCCUGGCCCUCACCGCCAACUUCCACAGUAAAACUGUCCAGAAAGACCAGAGAUGGGCUGUUAUGGUCCGCUUGGAGGGCGCGUUUGGGAGCGAGGUGUUCCAGGUGGUGCCGGGCGUCAGUCCCGGCGGGGAUCCGAGCCCUAGUCCUCCUCUUUCUGAUCCCCAGACGAGUCGGGUCGCUCCUUUUGUUGUUGAGUAACCACGCGUCUGCCAGGAAGUGCGUCUCCGGUCUCAUCUCUGAUCACAGGAUGGGGAUGGGGGUGUGGGACACAAUGGGCGACAUGUGCUCCUCGUCCCGGGCCGGUUCGCCAGCCCAGGGACCCGGGACCACAGCCCAGGUACAUGGUCUCCCCCGGCCACGGGACCCGGGACCACAGCCCCAGGUCUCUCCCAGUCCCGGUUGGGUGGACCCGGUGGGGUACGGUGGAGGACGGGGAUCUUUGUCUCCAAAGUUGACUCGUGGGAUCGUUUUGUGUAGAUGGAUGGUCGCUGUAACAGGGCGACUCCUAGGGUGUGAGGUGUGAACCAUAGAGGAGAACCCAGCUUUCCAGUGAUCUCCGGCUCCUCUGAGUCAUAUUGCCGGUCUGCCCCAAACAGACCCCAAUCUCCAGAGGACAAUGACUAGAUCAGCGGGGUUAAGGCCGGGCACCUCCUCCUGCUUGUCCUCCGAAUCCUGGACCCUGACAUGGAACCCAAAGCCAGGCAGGAGUCCACCGUUGUUGGGCCGUUGGUGAUGCCAGACUAUCUUCAGGGAGGACCUGGUGGUCUCUGCACUGUCUGUCUGUGUGUCUGUCUGUGUGUCUGUCUGUGUGUCUGUCCGUCUGUCCGUCUGUCCGUCUGUCCGUCCGUCCGUCCGUCUGUCUGUCUGUGAUGUAAUUGAGUCAUCAUGAGAUGACUGAACUGACUUUCACCAAAGUCAUUUACUUUGAUUCUCAUUUUUAGUGGCAUAGCGCCAGCACUAAACCUCAGUAGCUAGCAUAGCGCCAGCAAUAAACCUCAGUAGCUAGCAUAGCGCCGCCAGCAAUAAACCUCAGUAGCUAGCAUAGCGCCAGCACUAAAUCUCAGUAGCUAGCAUAGUGCCAGCACUAAACCUCAGUAGAUAGCAUAGCGCCAGCACUAAACCUCAGUAGCUGGCAUAGCGCCGCCAGCACUAAACCUCAGUAGCUAGCAUAGCGCCAGUACUAAACCUCAGUAGCUAGCAUAGCGCCAUCAGUAGCUAGCCUGCUGCCGGCAGUUACUGUGAGCCUGGGAAUGCCUUCUAGAAAUGUUAACGUGAUUAGCGCGCUAGCCUGGGUAAACCUGGGCUGAAUGGGCUGUGAUGCUGUCUGAGGGAAGGCUGUGACGCCCGUCUGCUAGGUGUGUGCGUGUAGGAGGCCACCCAACGCCGUUGCUAUUAUGCUACUUCAACGGUAUGUAAAUCUCUGCUAGCUUAGCGGCCGGCUAUGGGCUAGGUGAGCGCAGGAACACAGAGAAGCUAAUCUGUCUGACUUCACACACCGGCCGCAUUCCAAUAGAAUCCCCUCCCCUGGGCACCACAGCCCCGCGGCUCCUGACCCUGUUCAAACUUUGAACUUGCAUUAAUUACACACAGGCGGAUCGAAUGGUUUGUCGUGGUUUGUGACGGUGAACUCUAUGUUUGGAGUGGUUCUGACAGAGCUCUGUGUUGCGGAGGGAGGAUACAGUUUUCAGACUACGGAGAUAGCCGCUGAGCUCUCUCUGCAGCAGCAGCAGUGUGAACGAGCAGGAGAUGGAUUCCUUUAAUGAGCUGAACCCACACAGAAGCCGGUUCACUGCUGGACAGGAUCUCUUUAACGACAUAACUGCUUUAGCGCUAGCCCGACAAGCUUAAUGUCAAACAUGGUUAGUUUAGUGAUACCUCACUAAUGGUGGCCGUCUUUGGCCUUUUCUACAGCCAUAAAUACCUUCUCUUGUGGGGACUUUGGCAAGAUGUCAGGAUGUUUGGACCGUGGGACAAAGUGAGUUGUCCCACUCUCUCUUAUUUAUGAGCAAAGCGCACGCUUUAAGAUCAACAUGAAACGGCUCUUUAGCUGCUGGUCGUAGUAAACAUUUGUCCGGAUGAAUCUUAACUGUCUGCUGACCUGCUGUUGGUAUUUAAAUAAGCAGCGUCUCAGAGUAAAUAUACUGGGCAGCCUCUAUGUAAAUCAUUUGGUUGUUAGCUGUUGCUCCCUCUAUGGUCGCAACAGGAAGGAGACUGUGUCAUGUUCUCCCUCUCAGACUUCCUGUCUAUCUGUCUGUCUGCCUGUCUGUCAUAAUCUAGCUGUCUUUCUGUCAUGAUCUCUCUCUCUCACUGACCUGAUCUGUCUGUGUGUCUGUCUAUCUAUAAACCCUUUCACACAUUCAGACAUACAUCCUACCUCCUCCUUAAUGAUCUGUCUGUGAACUGUCUAACCCCUACCUGCUCCUUAAUGACCUGUCUCUGUACUGUCUAACCCCUACCUGCUCCUUAAUGACCUGUCUGUGAACUGUCUAACCCCUACCUGCUCCUUAAUGACCUGUCUCUGUACUGUCUAACCCCUACCUGCUCCUCAAUGAGCUGUCUCUGUACUGUCUAGCCCCUACUUGCUCCUUAAUGACCUGUCUCUGUACUGUC